rnacentral:rRNA from 1 species
GACGAACGCUGGCGGCGUGCUUAACACAUGCAAGUCGAACGGAAAGGCCCUGCUUUUGUGGGGUGCUCGAGUGGCGAACGGGUGAGUAACACGUGAGUAACCUGCCCUUGACUUUGGGAUAACGUCAGGAAACUGGGGCUAAUACCGGAUAGGAGCACCUGCUGCAUGGUGGGGGUUGGAAAGUUUCGGCGGUUGGGGUUGGACUCGCGGCUUAUCAGCUUGUUGGUGGGGUAGUGGCCUACCAAGGCUUUGACGGGUAGCCGGCCUGAGAGGGUGACCGGCCACAUUGGGACUGGGAUACGGCCCAGACUCCUACGGGAGGCAGCAGUGGGGAAUAUUGCACAAUGGGCGGAAGCCUGAUGCAGCAACGCCGCGUGCGGGAUGACGGCCUUCGGGUUGUAAACCGCUUUCGCCUGUGACGAAGCGUGAGUGACGGUAAUGGGUAAAGAAGCACCGGCUAACUACGUG